AUUGAACGCUGGCGGCAGGCCUAACACAUGCAAGUCGAACGAGUGGCGGACGGGUGAGUAAUGUCUGGGAAACUGCCCGAUGGGGGGGGAUAACUACUGGAAACGGUAGCUAAUACCGCAUACCAUCGGAGGUGCCCAGAUGGGAUUAGAUAGUAGGUGGGGUAAGGGCUAACCUAGGAGACGAUCCCUAGCUGGUCUGAGAGGAUGACCAGCCACACUGGACUUGAGACACGGCCCAGACUCCUACGGGAGGCAGCAGUGGGGAAUAUUGCACAAUGGGCGCAAGCCUGAUGCAGCCAUGCCGCGUGUAUGAAGAAGGCCUUCGGGUUGUAAAGUACUUUCAGCGGGGCGGCGUUACCCGCAGAAGAAGCACCGGCUAACUCCGUGCCAGCAGCCGCGGUAAUUC
rnacentral:rRNA from 1 species